AAAUAAGUUAAGCUAAAUGCCUAGCUACGUAGGGACUCGGCGAGCCCGGGAUGGUGUGGUAUCUAAUUCUUGAGAACAUCUCCCUUCUUUAUAGUCUGAAUGGUGAUGCCUUCUUCUUCUUCCUCCCCCUCCUCAAUUAUCACACUGCAAACCAUAUCCUCAUCCUCUAGAAACAAGUCUUCAGUGCAGCUAAAGCUUCUUCCUCUACAGUUCCCCAUAUUGUAUCAGCCUGGUGAAAAGUCUGACCCAUAUGUGGCACUGGUUGCUCAAGAGGGUAAUAAGGACCAUUCAUGGCGGCGGCCAAUCAUUGUAC
rnacentral:lncRNA from 1 species